rnacentral:misc_RNA from 1 species
AACGCACAUUGCGCCCCCUGGUAUUCCGGGGGGCAUGCCUGUCCGAGCGUCAUUGCUGCCCUCAAGCACGGCUUGUGUGUUGGGCUCUCGCCCCCCGCUUCCGGGGGGCGGGCCCGAAAGGCAGCGGCGGCACCGCGUCCGGUCCUCGAGCGUAUGGGGCUUCGUCACCCGCUCUGUAGGCCCGGCCGGCGCCCGCCGGCGAACACCAUCAAUCUUAACCAGGUUGACCUCGGAUCAGGUGGGGAUACCCGCUGAACUUAA